UACAGAGGUCUCAAGCGUUGUUCGGAUUCAUUGGGCGUAAAGGGUGCGUAGGUGGCGCCGUAAGUCGGGUGUGAAAUUUCGGAGCUUAACUCCGAAACUGCAUUCGAUACUGCGGUGCUUGAGGACUGGAGAGGAGACUGGAAUUCAUGGUGUAGCAGUGAAAUGCGUAGAGAUCAUGAGGAAGACCAGUGGCGAAGGCGGGUCUCUGGGCUGACACUGACGCUCAUGCACGAAAGCGUGGGGAGCAAACAGG
rnacentral:rRNA from 1 species